UAACUUGGGAACUUCAACUGACUUCUGAGGAGUUAGAAAUUGAUAUAAUCAAAGAGUUAAUAGCUGCACAAAAUGACAGGACGGAUGUUUCUAAACCUGAAUAUCUUUCAUCUAUUAUGUUGACUGUUGAUGAUGAUAACUUGAGAAUCAGAUCUCACUUGAUGGAUAAACAAGCAGUUGAAAAUGGGUCAGAAAGGGAAAUAGUCAGAGAAGGGCACAGGAUACAAGAAAACAAUCUGGAGCAUUUGAGGGCACCAGAAAAUGUAGUAGAAGUGUUAACAGAUGCAACAGGAUGCCCAUCUGCAUCUUGUUGUGUUUCAGAGGAACCAAAAGAGCAAAUGCAGCAUCCAUCAACCUCAAAGAAUUCUUCCUGAAUUUUACCGUUAGUGUUGAGGAUGACUUGAGAACAAGAUAUCAGUUAUUAGAAGAGCAAAAUAUGAAGUUAAUGGAAGAGAUAGACAAACUGAGAAGAGAAAAUAAUAUAUUAAGAGACCAGCUUUUAUCGAGCCAGCAGCUAGAAGGGCAGAUUGUAGAUUUAAAUAAGGAAGUGAAUGACCUGAGAAGAGAUAAUGAACUUUUAAGCUUCUCCUCAAAUAACCUUGUGUCUCGGCUAGAGAGACUUCUACUUGAUGAAGAUGUAAAUGCCACAGGAGAAAUGUAGACUACCACCAAAAGCUCUGCAUUCGCUUCAUGUUUGCGAGAGCCACAACCUGCUGUGGAGCACUUUGUUUACAAUUGAGCACAGUGACUGAUUUAGAAAGAGUAAAACAUCCUGUAAGGACAAAUUCUAGUGAAUAAAUUUCUGGCAGGUUCCCAUUUCAAUGCUUAAUUUAAAGAAGAGGUAUGGUGCUGCACUGGUGCUCCAUUAUUAUUUCUUUUCUUUUUUUCUUUGUGCUAGAUGCCCAUGAACUUCUUAUCAUCAUAUAAUUCACUAGGUUCUUUUUGGAUAAUCAAAUAUUACUAUUAUUAUAUUUCUUGAGCUUAUAAGCACUAUUAGCAAACUUGCAAAAUCAGCGCUGAAACUAGAAUCCUUUAUCUUCUCUAGAUUUUGUUUGUCUAUUUGUCAACUGCUAUUUACCACUCAUUACCUGAGCUAAUCCACACUUCUUUCCUUUUAGAUGGCUAAGUUGAUCUUCUAAACCAAAAACCAUGGCCCUGCCAUGCAAAUGAGAAAAUCUUCUCAUGGGUUUGUGGGUGAUUACCUGAUUGAGACUAGUCCUGUGUCUCAAGGACUAGGGUUCAGAAGCCUGUAGUCAUGAAAAAGAGGGGCAAAAAGAAAAGGAAAAAAAAUCCCUUGACUCAUUUUCACCUGUCUGCAUCUUUUUGGAUGUGAUUUGUUGGUGGUCUUUGAGUAUAUUCCAGAUAAUAUUACAAUUGGAACAGUUUACCACAUUCAAUCCAGAUCCAGUACACUUACAAGUGCUUGAGGCACGAUAUAUUUUAUUUGAAUGCAGAUCCAGUACACUUGUAGUGCAAAAGAUGCAAUAUUUGGGCAUUCUCUUUUUUUUCUUUUUUUUCUUUUUUCUGGGAUGAAGAGGAGUCCCCAUUAGGUCUCUCUCCGUCCAUCUUAGUCUCAAUCUACUAUAUCCUGAGUGCCAUAAACGUUAACUUGUCAACCUUACUUCACCCUGCAACACAAUGACAAAACAAUAGUAAAAAUCAUCAAUUUUAAAGUAAUGCUCAACUGCUCAGAAGACAGAGCCAUGAGCGCUGAAUACCUGCAGCAUUCAAUGGAGGGGUUGAUCUUGUAUGGAACGCUGACUUCACAUUUGCCUGGAAGCUCAGAGAGGUAGUUCAAUUUGAUUCCAUAAAUGGAGGAUAUCGCCUUCUUCAAGCACACAGGUGGUCUGGCGGUCUUUGGUGUUCUUAACUCCAUUGUUGAGGGUCUUAACUUCUUGGCAGCAUUCUGCUGUGACUGAACCACAGUUCCUCAGGAAAGAACUGCAUUGGUGAAGGUGUUCAUCUGAUAACAUAUUAGGGCUUUUCAGCUGCCAGUGCUGCAACCACCGCCAUGCAGAUAAAUCAUUGCCCCUGCCAACUUAAGCGCUCUAGAACUGGCCAUGAUGAGUGACUGGCUGUUCUGCCCAAAAACUUUUAGCACCGAAAGAGAAAUGCAGGUUUAGACGUUUGGAUGCUGAUGGAAAUGCUGUGAGCUUUUGUUGCUUCUAUAGGAGCAAGUGUGAGGGUAUGCAAUUGCUUAGCUUAAUGCUCUGAUACUUCUUUGCCGUGCCCAGAUCUGUGUUUUUCUUUCUCUGGCUGGUUUUCGUUUGUGAGAAAAAUUGACGUCCAACUCCUUGAUCAGUACUAAGGAAUUGUUGAAGUUCAAAAAUAUCAGACAAGUAACCCAAAAUAAACACCUCGCAUGGUUUGGAUAAAGAAGCGGUUCUCUAAGAUGAGGAAUGAUUAUGAUCUGAAACUGAGAUGAAUGGGAAAGAGCCAAACAGUUGAUCCUGCUUGAAGAAAAUGAAUCACGUGUGUUAAUUCCAAUGAUAACAGGGCUUGCUCAACCAUAAACUCAAGAUCGCUGAGUGUUUUAGAUUGGGUUUAGACCCCAUUGCGCUGUAUUGGUUCUAAGUCCAAUUCAGCCUGAUAGACCUUAUAUGAUUAAAUAUUCAUUUCUAGAGUAUUCAUUUAUUCAGCAAUGUGGCUGUGAGAGAAAAGAAAGGCAAAUAAAUCGGUUAGCUCCUUGUGGAAGUCCUGCUUUCGAAAUUAAUAAGAGUAUUGUAGGAUUUCCUUGACA